GAUGAACGCUGGCGGCGUGCCUAAUACAUGCAAGUCGAGCGAACAGACGAGGAGCUUGCUCCUCUGACGUUAGCGGCGGACGGGUGAGUAACACGUGGAUAACCUACCUAUAAGACUGGGAUAACUUCGGGAAACCGGCGCUAAUACCGUAUAAUAUAUUUAACCGCAUGGUUCAAUAGUGAAAGACGGUUUUGCUGUCACUUAUCGAUGUAUCCGCGCCGCAUUAGCUAGUUGGUAAGGUAACGGCUUACCAAGGAAACGAUGCGUAGCCGAACUGAGAGGGGGAUCGGCCACACUGGAACUGAGAGACGGUCCAGACUCCUACGGGAGGCAGCAGUAGGGAAGCUGCCGCAAAGGGCGAAAGCCUGACGGAGCAACGCCGCGUGAGGGAUGAAGGUCUUCGGAUCGUAAAACGCUGUUAUUAGGGAAGAACAAAUGUGUAAGUAACUAUGCACGUCUUGACGGUACCUAAUCAGAAAGCCACGGCUAACUACGUG
rnacentral:rRNA from 1 species